rnacentral:rRNA from 1 species
AGGAUGAACGCUAGCUACAGGCUUAACACAUGCAAGUCGAGGGGAAACGACAUCGAAAGCUUGCUUUUGAUGGGCGUCGACCGGCGCACGGGUGAGUAACGUGUAUCCAACCUGCCCACCACUUGGGGAUAACCUUGCGAAAGUAAGACUAAUACCCAAUGAUAUCUCUAGAAGACAUCUGAAGGAGAUUAAAGAUUUAUCGGUGAUGGAUGGGGAUGCGUCUGAUUAGCUUGUUGGCGGGGUAACGGCCCACCAAGGCGACGAUCAGUAGGGGUUCUGAGAGGAAGGUCCCCCACAUUGGAACUGAGACACGGUCCAAACUCCUACGGUAGGCAGCAGUGAGGAAUAUUGGUCAAUGGGCGAGAGUCUGAACCAGCCAAGUAGCGUGCAGGAUGACGGCCCUAUGGGUUGUAAACUGCUUUUAUAAGGGAAUAAAGUGAGUCUCGUGAGACUUUUUGCAUGUACCUUAUGAAUAAGGACCGGCUAAUUCCGUGCCAGCAGCCGCGGUAAUACGGAAGGUCCGGGCGUUAUCCGGAUUUAUUGGGUUUAAAGGGAGCGUAGGCCGGAGAUUAAGCGUGUUGUGAAAUGUAGACGCUCAACGUCUGCACUGCAGCGCGAACUAGUUUCCUUGAGUACGCACAAAGUGGGCGGAAUUCGUGGUGUAGCGGUGAAAUGCUUAGAUAUCACGAAGAACUCCGAUUGCGAAGGCAGCUCACUGGAGCGCAACUGACGCUGAAGCUCGAAAGUGCGGGUAUCGAACAGGAUUAGAUACCCUGGUAGUCCGCACGGUAAACGAUGGAUGCCCGCUGUUGGUCUGAAUAGGUCAGCGGCCAAGCGAAAGCAUUAAGCAUCCCACCUGGGGAGUACGCCGGCAACGGUGAAACUCAAAGGAAUUGACG